AAACAUGAGUCAAAGAUUGGGCUAACGGGUCUGGCACCAAUCUGGCAAACGGGUCUGAAACACAUCUGGAAUGCGGGAGACUCCGGCACAAUGGAGCUGGGCCAGAGCUGGGCCGCUUCUGUAGAAG